UGGGGAAUCUUGCACAAUGGGGGCAGCCCUGAUGCAGCGACGCCGCGUGAGCGAUGAAGCCCUUCGGGGCGUAAAGCUCUUUCGACCGGAACGAUAAUGACGGUACCGGGAGAAGAAGCUGCGGCUAACUACGUGCCAGCAGCCGCGGUAAUACGUAGGCAGCAAGCGUUGUUCGGAGUUACUGGGCGUAAAGAGUGCGUAGGCGGUUUUCUAAGUUCGGUGUGAAAUCUCCCGGCUUAACUGGGAGGGUGCGCCGAAGACUGGGAAGCUGGAGUGUGGGAAAGGCAGGCGGAAUUCCUGGUGUAGCGGUGAAAUGCGUAGACAUCAGGAGGAACACCGGCGGUGUAGACGGCUUGCUAAACCAUAACUGACGCUGAGGCACGAAAGCGUGGGUAGCAAACA
rnacentral:rRNA from 1 species